GGUUGGUAGGGUAACGGCCUACCAAGGCUAUGACGGGUAGGGGACCUGAGAGGGUGGCCCCCCACAAUGGAACUGAAACACGGUCCAUACACCUACGGGUGGCAGCAGUAGGGAAUAUUAGAAAUGGGCGGAAGCCUGAUCUAGCAACACCGCGUGUGCGAUGAAGGCCUUCGGGUUGUAAAGCACUUUUUGGAGGGAAUAGGAAGGAAGGUACCUCCAGAAUAAGUCUCGGCUAACUACGUGCCAGCAGCCGCGGUAACACGUAGGAGGCAAACGUUAUCCGGAUUCACUGGGCGUAAAGCGCGUGCAGGUGGUUCCGUAAGUAGGGCGUGAAAGCUCCCGGCUCAACUGGGAGAGGCCGUACUAAACUGCGGAGCUAGAGGAUGGUAGAGGGAGGUGGAAUUCCAGGUGUAGUGGUGAAAUGCGCAGAUAUCUGGAGGAACACCAGUGGCGAAGGCGGCCUCCUGGACCAUUCCUGACACUCAGACGCGAAAGCUAGGGUAGCAAACGGAAUUAGAGACUCCGGUAGUCCUAGCCCUAAACGAUGCAGACUAGGCGUCGGCGGUUUAAUCACCGUCGGUGUCCAAGCUAACGC
rnacentral:rRNA from 1 species